AAACUCGUGAAUUCCGUAGCUUUAAGUACAUCGGAAAAAUUCCAAUAAUGUUCUAAAGCUGACAUAAGUUGAAACAUAUGCAUUACAAUUCAUCAAUUAAUAAUUUUUUCCAUACCUGCUUGAUAUAAAGUUCAAUGUUGGUGGAUGGUUCAUGAAUUAUGCGAGAUCUUCAAAUAAGGCAGAAGAAGUUUCCAAAGAGACUGAAGAAAAUCAGCAACGACGAAUUGGAGCUCCAAGCUCCAGUAAUUCCUCAAUUUUUUAGAUCUAACUGAAAAAUAAUGCUUGGAUUAUUUGUAUUUAAUCAUUGUUAUGUUCUUGGGUUCAUAGUCAUUUAUUAUAUUAUUUUUGAUA